GAUGAACGCUGGCGGCGUGCCUAAUACAUGCAAGUCGAGCGAAGCGGGGACGGGUGAGUAACAGGUGGAUAACCUCCUAUGGGAAUGGGAUAACUUCGGGAAACCGGAUCCAAACCGGAUACUUAGUGAUGGAUCCGCGCUGCAUUAGCUAGUUGGUAAGGUAACGGCUUACCAAGGCAACGAUGCAUAGCCGACCUGAGAGGGUGAUCGGCCAAACUGGAACUGAGAAACUGGCCAGACUCCUACGGGAGGCAGCAGUAGGGAAUCUUCCACAAUGGGCGAAAGCCUGACAGAGCAACGCCGCGUGAGUGAUGAAGGUCUUCGGAUCGUAAAUCACUGUUAUUAGGGAAGCGGUACCUAAACAGAAAGCCACGGCUAACUACGUGCCAGCAGCCGCGGUAAUAC
rnacentral:rRNA from 1 species